AUACGUAGGUGGCAAGCGUUGUCCGGAAUUACUGGGCGUAAAGGAUGCGUAGGCGGCCUCUUAAGUGGGAUGUGAAAUCCCGGGGCUUAACCCCGGAGCUGCAUUCCAUACUGGGAGGCUAGAGUGCAGGAGAGGAAAGCGGAAUUCCCAGUGUAGCGGUGAAAUGCGUAGAGAUUGGGAGGAACACCAGUGGCGAAGGCGGCUUUCUGGACUGUAACUGACGCUGAGGCAUGAAAGUGUGGGGAGCAAACAGGAUGAGAUACCCUGGUAGUCCACACCGUAAACGAUGGGCACUAGGUGUAGGGGGUGUAGCCCUCUGUGCCGCAGUUAACACAUUAAGUGCCCCGCCUGGGGAGUACGAUCGCAAGAUUAAA
rnacentral:rRNA from 1 species